rnacentral:rRNA from 1 species
AACCUGCCUGGUAGCGGGGGAGUAACUAUUGGAAACGAUAGCUAAUACCGCAUAACAGUAGAUAUUGCAUGAUAUCUGCUUGAAAGGUGCAAAUGCAUCACUACCAGAUGGACCUGCGUUGUAUUAGCUAGUUGGUGGGGUAACGGCUCACCAAGGCGACGAUACAUAGCCGACCUGAGAGGGUGAUCGGCCACACUGGGACUGAGACACGGCCCAG